UACUGUCUCUCCUCCACCCAGUUCCUUUCCUCAGUUUUACUGUCUCCGUUUCUCUCUUUCUCAAUCUCUCCAGGUAUCUAUGUCCCUACCCUUUGCUUUGGUCGCCGAAAUAUAUUGGGUUUUGGUGCUUUUCCUCAGCACAUCUGUCUUCCAUUGUGUUUUUUCUGUUUGGAUCAUCUAGGGUUAGGAAUAUAUGAUCUAAGGUGGUUGGUAGGUCGAGACUGUUUCCUGAGUUAUGCGAACUUCAUGGGCUGAUUCCGUUGCGAACGCCGAGAGCUCGGCGUGUGCGAUCGGUGCUUCUGUAAGCAUAAGCAACACUGGCAACACCAACGCCACUGCUGCUGUGGUCAUUGCCGCCCCUCGCCCUGUUCGCGCUGCCUACGUCCUUCCAACGGUGUGCAGUCUUCCAAACUCCCAGCGCCAGCCCCUGUCUAUGGUCCUUCUGCAGCCAAAUUACCAUCUGGGCCUAGAGCGCCUUCUGGAGGAGACCGAUGGGGUGGUGGCUCUACUCGAGAUGCAGGACGCCCUGGCUUUGCUGGCGGCCGGGGUGGAGGAGGUGGUUGGGGCUCAAGGAGCGUUGGGUGGGAUCGGAGGAAGCGUGAGAAGAACCCUUUCGCAGAUGACGAAGAAACCACUGAAGUCGCGUUUGAUGGUCGGGAGACUACUGGCAUAAAUUUUAAUCCAUACGGGAGGCAUACCUAUGGUGGUGAGCGGUGCGAAUGUGACUCCGCCGGUGAGCACAUUUGCUGAGAUUGAUUUGGGGGAUGAAAACACACCUGUGGAGGUGAGCCAUGUUAUUCCCAUCUUGCUAGCUGGACGAGACCUGAUGGUCUGUGCUCAGACUGGGUCAGAAAAGGCAGCAGCUUUCUGCUUUCCAAUUAUUAGUGGGAUCAUAAGGGGACCACCUUUCACAGUGGCAGCGGGGCUCGAGGGCAGUGUAUCCUCCUGCGCUUAUCUUGUCACCUACCCGUGAGCUCUCGGUUCAAAUGUUGAUAAUUUACAAGAUAGAACCACUUUCCUAAAGUCUGACUGCCCAGUCGCAAAAAUGAUCCUGAAGUUGUUGAAGCACAAGAAGAAGAGCAAAAGACAAUUGAUCAAAAGAGAAGUUGGUAAACUUUUGCAUUAUUAAUUUGGAUUAUCUGUUAGGUCUUUUUAACACCCAUCAUUCAUCUAAAAAGUCUUAGUCAAAUCAUCAACUUCUUGUACUUCUUUAUCUGUUGUUCUCUACCAUUUAUUAUUGCAUUAAUUUCUUCAAAAUAAAUUAAUGAUACUGUAUAUGAGCUUUAUAUGUAGAUUUCCUUGUAUGCCUCUAAUAUAACGUAUUCUGUGUUGGUUUCUGUUAUUGACAUCUUAGAGACAUGAGGAGGCUAGAAAGUUCUCCUACCAGACUGGUGGAUCCCCAAACAAUUAGCAGACACUAGUUGCGAAGGAGGAUAUAAACAAUUGGAUUGAUCGGAGAUUGCCACUGCCAGUUUGUGAGUGACUACGCAGCAUGCUGCAUGCAUUCCACUAUAGGAGCAACAGUGGAAAACAAUGACAGAUGGUUACCUCAGGAAGCGUGCCAUGUUGCACGACAAAAAAAAACCCAUCAUAUAGUGAUUUGAGGAGCGCGAAUCCCCAGGAACGGGAACGAGCACUCAGAUCCUUCAAGAGUGGUGCUACUCCAAUUCUAAUUGGUGGUCAGAUUUUUUAGGGAUAAAUUAGUAGUGUAUUAUAUGUUUGAAUUGUUCGGUUGGUAUCAUGCACACAAACUAUUAUCUGAUGAUGGGGUUUUUGCGAGCUCUGUAAUGUUAUCUUACCCUAAGA